rnacentral:lncRNA from 1 species
AUGCACUGUGCCCAUCUGCCACUGGUGAGGAGCUUCCAGGAGAAACACAGCCACCCAAGGGCAGCACCCACACAGCUGGCUCCUCUGCAGUGCCAGCACCCAGCCAGUCACCACCCAUGCGCUGGCCUCCCUGCACUGAUGCCAGCACCCCACAACGCCAGUCACCCACCCUACGCGGCUGGCCUCCCUGCACCGGUGCCAGUACCCCACAACACCAGUCACCCAUCCUAUGCGGCUGGCCUCCCCGCACCGCUGCCAGCACCCCGCCACGCCAGUCACCCACCCUACGCGGCUGGCCUCCCUGUAUUGGUGCCAGCACUCCUCCACCGUGCCAGUGCCAGUCACCCAUCCUUCCUUCCUGCCAUUCCAGCACCAGCACCCCACCUUCCUUCCCCCAGUCCACCACCCUCCUUCUCCACCCCCUGCCAGUCCACCACCAGGCCUCCCCGGUGCCACCCCACAACCCAGUCACCAUCCCUGCUGGCCUCCCGGUGCCAGCACCCCGCAAUGCCAGUCACCCAUCCUACGCGGCUGGCCUCCCCGCACCGGUGCCAGCACCCCGCAACGCCAGUCACCCACCCUAUGUGGCUGGCCUCCCGCACCGGUGCCAGCACCCCACGCCAGUCCACCGCUGGCUCUCCCUGUAUUGGUGCCAGCACCCUGCAACGCCAGUCACCCACCCUAUGUGGCUGGCCUCCCCGUACUGGUGCCAGCACCCCACCACGCCAGUCACCCACCCCACGUGGCUGGCCUCCCUGCACCGAUGCCAGCACCCCACAACACCAGUCACCCACCCCACGCGGCUGGCCUCCCCGUACUGGUGCCAGAACCCUGCAACGCCAGUCACCCACCCCAUGCGCUGGCCUCCCCGUACUGGUGCCAGCACCCCACAACGCCAGUCACCCAGAGUCCACUUGCCCCGGGAAUGAAACCAUCCUCAGGCUGGGCGCUGUGUCCUCGGUGGUGGUGUCUAGGGAUGGGGCACACAGCCCAGUCUCUGCCCAGGGGUCGGAAGCCCUUGGACAAGUCCCGGCUACUCCCUGCCCUGGCAGGCUGAGCGGAUGCCCGUGCGCUGAGCCAACCAACCAACAAACGUCCCUGCUGUGUGUGCUGUGUGUGUGCCGUGUGAGUGCCGGGGCGGACGGCCUGCUUGCUAUGGAUGUGGGGCUCCCUGCAACCCCACGAGGCCUCGCAGCAGCCUGGCUGUGUCCCUGCACCUCUGUGUGUUGGCAGAGGUCAACAACACCUGACCCCUCCAUGCUGGCCCCCUGCCUCUCCAUUCCCGCUUCCUCCCGUGAAUGUGCUGUGCCCUAA